CCGAUACAUGGACGAUAUAUGUAUUUAUUUUUGUUCCUACGGGUUAUUUUAUACGGGAAAACUAUUUGAAAUUCUGCCAGCGAUAUAUAUGUAUACAUAUAUUCGACGUGCCGAGUUCAAUUUCUGUACAUAAGUCGAUGCCUGUGUGCGUAAGUGGAUGUAACACAGGUAUAACAUACAUGAUACGAAUACACGUAGGUACAAUUUUAUGUACGAUAAAUAAAUAAAAUAGAAAUUUGUUUGUUUGUACUUCGGAUAUACGCAGGACUAGCUGCAGACAUUAAGCAAAGCGGAACCUGCAGGUGGAAAAUUUACGAAGGGAUCGAGAGAAUGGGGAAGAAAUGGCUGGGAGAGAGAGAGGAAAAAAAAAAGAAGAAAAUUGUAAUUGGAAUCGUUGAACCCCGAGGAAUGGAGGCAUUGGCUCGAACGUAUAUAUAAUAUCCACGUCAGAUAGAAAUAAAUGAGACGACAUGAAAAUAAUUUUUCCAUAAUUACAUGCAACCCUGCUGCAGAAUUUACCGUCUCCACUAUUUCUUCGCUUACCGGUCUUUGCGGUAACAAAAAAUGCUAAGGGUCGAUAUAAACUCUGCGAAAGCGUUUCUUUGAAGAUUGAAAAUGCUUACUUUUUGGUUCUUCGAGAUCCUUAUUGUUAAGGACUUUUAAAACCAAACCGAGCAGAGCAAAAAAAGGUGCGGAGAAAGAUGAGGAAAGUAAAACCAGCGGAGCUUUUCAACGUUCAAGUGAAAAGCUCAAACAAUACCUCCGCUUUAACUUUAUCCGAAAAGCUGCGUAAACAAGCGUUGACAAAACUUUCAUUUCAGAUUGAACAAACACCAAGAGAAACAACUUUUCCGUACGCAAAAAGGGUUUCGAUUUCAGUAUAUACAUAUAUACAUGUACGGUUAUACACUUAUACGUAUAACGUAACGAAGUAAAGUAGAAACUGUGUAACUAAAUUCAACAGGGUUGAUUAGAACCCACCAUUAUUACGACACAAUUAAUUUCUUAUGACAUUUUCCAUUACCUAAACUUUUGAAAUAUCAAGUCCCCUGCAAUUUUAUAAAUGCAACUUUCUGAUAAAGGGGCGAUAUAAUUAUAAACUUGUCAAGAUUGUGAUAAGAGA